GACGAACGCUGGCGGCGUGCUUAACACAUGCAAGUCGAGCGAUGAAGUUCCUUCGGGAAUGGAUUAGCGGCGGACGGGUGAGUAACACGUGGGUAACCUGCCUCAUAGAGGGGAAUAGCCUUCCGAAAGGAAGAUUAAUACCGCAUAAGAUUGUAGUAUCGCAUGAUACAGCAAUUAAAGGAGUAAUUCGCUAUGAGAUGGACCCGCGUCGCAUUAGCUAGUUGGUGAGGUAACGGCUCACCAAGGCGACGAUGCGUAGCCGACCUGAGAGGGUGAUCGGCCACAUUGGGACUGAGACACGGCCCAGACUCCUACGGGAGGCAGCAGUGGGGAAUAUUGCACAAUGGGGGAAACCCUGAUGCAGCAACGCCGCGUGAGUGAUGACGGUCUUCGGAUUGUAAAACUCUGUCUUCAGGGACGAUAAUGACGGUACCUGAGGAGGAAGCCACGGCUAACUACGUGCCAGCAGCCGCCGUAA
rnacentral:rRNA from 1 species